rnacentral:lncRNA from 1 species
GAAUCUUCCAGCGCGAACCGGUUGGGGCAUUUUAUUUUCACUUCGUCAUAAAAGUUUAUUUUAUAAUUUUGUUGUAAAUACAAUUGAUGGUUCAGAUUUACAAUAGCCUUUCUGCUCACUAAGUUGUUAGUACAAGCUGUUGAUGGUCCGUUUUUGAAUUUUGUUUUAAAUUGUACUGCGUCAUCAUGCAUGUCUGCACUCGGCCGACUCAGUUGUCGACUUGUCGAUUGAAUAAAGGGAUGUUGAUGAUUUAGUAUUUACUAUAUAUAAAUAUGUUUGGUUCAUCUACACCGUUUGGAUCUUCUACAUUUGGUUCAAGUACAAGUAAGUAUUUGUUCCUUAUGUUCAAUUUUAAAAAUCCAUGUGCAUAUACAUGUAUAAAAAUGGUGACUUCUCUACUGAUAUUAAAAUUAUGAUUGAUUCUAAAGGGCUGUUUACAUGAGCCCAGUUUGCUGGGCUGGCCCGAUUAAACGGGGUGCCUGGCUUCAUAGUAAUUUCCAACACAAAAAAUUUUACUUUACCUGACAACCAAGCCAGCCCGUUUAGCUGGGAUCCCACUUGACUCAAAUGGGAUGCCCGGUCAGCCGCCAGACUGGAAAGUUUGCAAACUGCGCAAUCUAUAUCAUUUUUACCUUUUUUGACCUUUCUCAUUGGCGCCGCGACAGUGGUUAUACACUGAAAUUAAUGGUUUCGUAUUCUUCAACUUUUUGUCUUUAGGCAUAUACCAAACACUACCAAACAGUUAUACUAACAGUCUAACAAAAUAAUUACUUCAGUUAAUAGUAAGCCUGUAAGAAAACCAACAUUAAUAAACACCUACUUCAUUAACUACCCACUUAAAUGUACAGUUUCAAGUCACCUUUUGAUCAAGGCAUCAAGCAUUUUAGCAGUACCACUACACAUACCAUAAUAUAAGUACAGUAAUAUUAGCAUUGGUGACUUACGUUCAUCAUUCAUAACAUCUUACCAAAAAUACAUGAAAGGUUGACACCAAAUAAAUUCGCUUCGUUGAUGAUAAAUCAGCAGAAAAACCAUUUUCUCAGCAGGAAGCUUUCCUCAAAACAUGGUUCAGCAGCCAAGGUGGUGGACUGGUAGUUAAGGAAGGUUUAUAAGGUCUCCAUUAUUAAAUGUCUAUAUUCAGCAACCAGGUGGUGGACUUGUGGUUAAGGAAGGUUUAUAACUGCUUUGGUUGAGCCACCGCCUUAGUCUUUGCACAACCACUACAUAGCACCUGUGCACCAAACCCUUCUUCAUCCUCAGCAGUAGAUGUUGAGCAAGGUGGAAUGGCAUGACAGGCCUUUUUGCAUACUUUGCAAAAAUGACUUCCACAUUCCUUCUCACAUGAAGCACAAACUAAUAUUAUAACAAAAAUAAAUUAUAAAUAUAUUUAUAAAUAAAAAGUCAUUAAUAAUUCAGGAGCAAUACACAAUAAAAAAUCAUAAGCGUGUCGUGGUUUUUUAUGUGAUAAAAAAUCAUGUUAAUUUACAUAGACUUUAGCUUUGAUUUUCUCGAUUUAGACAACGUUUAUUUUAAAAAUUACUUGGCCAAAUCGCCAAUGAACUCGUAUAAGAUAAUAAGAUGAGUAGUUUAAGCCAUUUAAAGCACUUGUAGUCGUGUUUUAUUACAUAUAAAAGUUUUAUCACAUAUAAAACACUCCGCUAUGCGUCGUGUUUUAUGAUAAAACACUCCUACGCGUGCUUUAAAUAGUACAUAUGUGGGUCGCUUAUUAAGCUAUUACGCAGUUUACGCUAUUUACGUCAAUCACCUUAUUACCAGCCUUACCUCGUUUAACUGUCUGGAUCUCUGCCAUCUUUAUAUUUACCAUGAGACGUGAGUGAAUUGGUGUGAAACUAAAACGCAUGUUUCAAUCAAUAAACAUUUUAUAGUAUCGAACUAAAACGUUAUUAAAAGACUUCAUAAAGCUAAUAAUUUCGACAAACCGAACGCGGCCAAAGGCCCGGUUUGUAACUCUGUUGAGAAGCGAUUACGCGAUAUAAAUUUCCAUAAGCGCAACAGAAAUACAGAUACUUCAACUAGGAACACUACACACACUCACCUCUUAAAAUCAACUCUCGAGAAUGACAAGACGUUCCACAGAAUUCCACAGGAAAAGUACUCAAUAGACAAUAUGAGCGUGUAACUUCGAAUACCGACGUUGUUCGCCUUGAAAGAUCUUGAAAACUCCGAGCAAAAGAACGCGAUACCGCAAAAAUAACAAUUUGCCAUAUUCGUAUUGGUUAAGCCACCAAAUCGGAAGUAAGCUGUAACUUAAUGCGUUGCGCCACAGGUGCUACCGCUGCCAGCGCAUUGAAAUUUGCAUUUGAAACUCGAUCUUGCAAACGUCACGCGAUGCACGUGCGCUCCAACGCGUGUUCUCGCGCAUUCUUGCUUCUCGCGUUUUCUUACUUCUUGUGCUUUCUUUCUCGCUUUUCCGCGCGUUUGCGCGGCGGUCAUUGCACAAUAUUAUUACAUGCGCGGCGGAUAGCUAAAUUCUUAAAAUUUGCGCGUUUCAACGCGUUUUGGUCCGAAAUUGCGCAACCUAGAUCUAGGUUGCGCAAUACAAACUUUCCAGUCUGGGUCAGCCGGGCUGAAAUUUCUCCAUGUAAAGUAUCCAGCCCGGGCAACCAGGCUAGAACAAAAACUUUUAAAACAAAAAUAACAUUUAAAACAAAAAUACAUUUAAAACAAAAAUAAAAGACAGAAACUGAUAUUUUUCUUGAUAAAUUUCUCUUCAAUUAAUCUAGCCGACAAAGUAGUUUUAAUCGAUUAAAUUUGCCAAUAAAGCACAAAUUCGACUUCCAUGACAGACGUUACACUGUUAACUCGUAAACAAGUUUUUCCCGCCAAUUUUUGUGAGUGUACAUGUCAGCCCGGCAAACUACUCAUCCCAGCUAGCCGGGCUCAUGUAAACAGCCCCUAAGGGCCUGUUUAUAUAGAAGCCGGACUGGCCCGCUAAGUGAGACAGCCUGGUAAGUGAGAUCUCGCCGUGUAGUUAUUUUUAUAGUAAAAAUUAUUGUGUGUUUAUAUGGACAAGUGGGCUGGCCUGGUUGCGGGUUGUUGAGAUCUUGCUUGACAGAGGAGAGAUCUCACUUACCAGGAUGGAAAUUUGUCCAUAUAAACACUCACGAGUGGGCUAGCCUGUUUGCCUGGAUGAAAGUUCAAAGAUACAGUCCUUGAAACUCAGGUCGGCAUUCGGCAAUGCCGACCUAAAUGCCGACCUUCAAAGUCGUAUGUAGAUAUGUGUAGAUUUAGGUCGGCAAAAUUUUGCCGACCUACUUUCAAAUACGUCUCAGCAGUUUCUUCCAUGAACGCAUCUUUCACAUACGCAUUUUCAACGAUGAUGUUUUAUCAGGUCAGGGCUCGAAAUAACGGCCGAUCAACGAUCAAUGAUCGGCAGGAAAUUGUUUUUGAUCGGCGAAGAAGCAAGGUUGCCGUUCAUUUUGAUCGGCAGAAAUAGAUUCAUUGUCACACGGUAAAAGACAAAUAAAAGUAACAUAAAACACAUUCAAAAACACGCGAAAAGCCCUUGUUUAGUUGAUACGAGUCAUACAACAGGAAAGGCCGCAAGACUAUUUUCGCUCUAAAGUAGCCUAAUUUACCAUAAAAACAAAUUUGCAUGAAAUACUGUCGUCUCUUCAACUGUCUGCAAUCCGGACUGCUGACGAUGAACGUUUUUGUUAUAAUAAUUUCAGUUUGAUAGGAUUUUUUGAAUAGGAUUUUUUCUUUUUAGUAACAUUUUCUCUUUUAAUAAUAUUGAAUAAUAAGUUUUAGUUCUUAAUUGAUAAUGCUGCUAUGUUCCUUGCUUUUGAGUUUUGUGUGAAAAAAUGCAAUAACUAUAAUUAAAACUUGAAAAGUGCUUUAAUUAACUAAAGUUUAUUAAAAGUGUAUUAAAUGUAGUUACAUGGACUAUUAGAAUUAUAUAUAAUAAGUCCAAAAAUGUUGCAGAUUUAAACUUGAAUUUGAAAUAAAGUUAAUUAUUAUCAUAUUUAGAAUUUUUUUCAAGGAAACUCUAAAGUCUUAGACAAACUAUGCUCCUGAUCGGCCAAAUUUUUAUUUGAUCGGAAAAAAGGCGUGAUUGCCGAUCACCAUGAUCGGGAACGUUGAGAACGUUAUUUCGAGCCCUGUCAGGUUUUGAUCAUUAGCUUGCCUAGUCAAAUACGCUUUGCGAGUAUCAAAUUUACAAACAUUGCAGUUUCAUUGUUGAAAGGUGAUACUUGAAACUUUGAAAAGUAAACAUCGUGUUAAAAUCAUCGAGCUUCAAGAUUUAAGCGAAACUAUAUUGUAAUAAAGUAGUGUACGGUUUGUCACAACAUUUUGUCACAACAUGCACUGUUUGAUUGGAAUUCAUACAUUUUGUUAGUUGUCCAUACAUUGUUCAUAUAUUGAUUGCAAUUAAUUGCUGCUUAUUAUAAAUACGCGUAUUUGCAGCAAGCAAAUUUUCAUUUGGAUAUUGUCUAUUAAGUGAAUUUUCAUUUGGAUAUUGUCUAUUUGUUUUGAAAAUAUUUGCCGACCCAGAUUGAGAAUUAUCGCUUUAGGUCGGCAAUUUCUUGCCGACCUGAAAUUUCUGGAGUUUCAAGGACUGAAGAUACCGCUGCAAACUAUUUUUAAAUUACUGUCAAAACAAUAUCAAAACAGCAAAAUUGUCCCAGCAGCAGGAUAAAAUUUUCUCAUAUAAACACAAGAGAAAUUCAUCCUGCUUACUGGGCUGUCUCGCUAAGCGGGACAGCCCGGCUUCCAUAUAACAGGUCCUAAUACUAGGGUACUGCAUUCCAAUAGCCGAAUAUAUUCUUAGAAGUUAAAUUGUGUUAUAAAUCAAUGCCAAAAGUGCUAGACGAAUAAAAAAACAUUUCCAGAUUCGUUUGUAUCCGCAAACAUUUUGUUGCAGAUUCAAAACUUUAUGUGUCCACACGUAUCUGGAUUAAUUGCAUUUUUGACCAUCCACACAUGUCAUGCUAUAGGUGUAUGUACCACAGACCACAGAAUACCAGUGCGGC